UCUCAGCCUCGCGAGAGAUGAAACGAGACUUGUAGUGGAUAGGGCGGGACAGUUCCGGCUGUUGCGGUCUCUUCCGCUCGCAGCCGGCGGGGUGGCGGGUGAACUGGUGGUGACUAGAUUCGGACUGUGGCAGGAUCCGAUGCCAUCCUCGGUCCCUGCCUAAAGCAUGCGGGAGGAAGGAAAGCCCAGCAGCACCCUGCUGAGUCCUGGGUGCAGCACCUCUUUCUGUUUGGAAAUCAAGAAUGAGGCUUUUGGAUGAGAGUAUCCCUCCCACUAACCACCCAUGAGUCUCUAACGAAGGUGAAAAUUCCUUUGAUCAGCCUGUGUUUGUCUGCUUGUCUGCACAAUGGAUGCAAUGUGUCUUCCACCCAGUGA
rnacentral:lncRNA from 1 species